AGAUUUGUAGUUUACGCAAUACAGCAUUGCUCUGAGAGUGGUUGAAUUGAAAUGAGACAAAUUAUGAAAACAAUUGAAAAUUACUAAUUCCAAAAAAGUUAAUAAUUUUCUCUGCAUUUUACUUAUUUAAAAAACAAUAGGCUGAUGCAUACAAGUUAGUCCAAGUGUAUGUGAGAGGGUUUUUCUUGUAAUGUAAAACAACUCCUUUUUUUCUUCAAGGAGGAAAAACUUGUUUAUAGUUUACAUAGAUUAGACCCCAAAUAAACUGAUAUUAUUAAAUGUUCCUGAUACGUGCCAUUGGUAGGAUUAAAUUAUGGAUAAAGUAUUGAAUGAAUUUGUAUUUUAUCUUAAAAUGAGACUCUUAUACAUCAAUACAUUUACCACUAGAGCAAUUUUUUAAAGUUUUAAUUUUUCUUAAAUAUCUAGAUAACAAUAUCUUUGUUCCUAUUGUAUUAUGUACUCGUUUAAAUGCAUGCUUAAUUCAACCUCCAACGAGUAACUUAAUACCUUAAACACUUGUAUGAUCCGUACAAAUAAACAUUGAAGGGAAUAUAUGUCAAUGCUACCCAUUGUUGUCUGGUCUCUGUUUGUCAAUAUAUUUCAAAGUCAUCUUUCCCAUAUUAUGUGUUUCUCAUUGAGUUAUUUUUGAAAUAAAAGAUACUUAUC
rnacentral:sRNA from 1 species